rnacentral:siRNA from 1 species
UCUUCAUUCUUCGUCUGAUUCAGA